rnacentral:rRNA from 1 species
CCUACGGGGGGCUGCAGUGGGGAAUAUUGGACAAUGGGCGAAAGCCUGAUCCAGCCAUGCCGCGUGUGUGAAGAAGGCCUUCGGGUUGUAAAGCACUUUCAGUGGGGAAGAAAGCCUUGGGGCUAAUACCCUCGAGGAAGGACAUCACCCACAGAAGAAGCACCGGCUAACUCCGUGCCAGCAGCCGCGGUAAUACGGAGGGUGCGAGCGUUAAUCGGAAUUACUGGGCGUAAAGCGCGCGUAGGCGGUCUGAUAAGCCGGUUGUGAAAGCCCCGGGCUCAACCUGGGAACGGCAUCCGGGAAGGGAACGGAGAGGGGGAGGGGGGGGAGGAAAGAAUCCCGGGGUGGAGGGGGAAAGGGGGAGAGAGCGGGAGAAGUCCGAGGGGCGGAGGCGGCCUUGGGCAAGGCCACAGACGCGGGGGGGAGAAGGGUUGGGUAGCAAACGGGAUUAGAGACCUGGGUAGUC